CCCUUUUGGAAAUGAAAUGAAAUUUAAUUUGAAGAUUAUUAUUUAAUUAUUGCAUCAGUUAUUUUUCCGAUCUUUGAUGUGCAUGUCCGAUCUGAUCUCUAACUAAAUCGUCAUUGGCCGAUCUGUGGCUCUGAAAAUUUGCCCAAUCCGAUAACCCUAGAUAGCCGAUCUCAUUUUAUUCAAUUUUAUUAUUGUGUUUCUUGAACCUUCCCGCGACGUGUCAGAAAAGCGGGCCGAUUCCGCUAACUGAUGCGCCGCUUGGGACUUCGUGAGCAUUAAAUGCUCAGAUGGGUAUAAAUAGGGGGAGGGUCAAUCAGUUGCUCCCUUAUGUCACUUUCAGCACUUUGCUAGCAAUUUCAACAUUCUCUUCUUCAAGUAUUUUCAGCACCAAUCACAUUUCGGUAAGGAUUUUGAUUCUUUUCUUAGUUAAACUUCUUUUGUUUUCUUGAAAAUGAGCGGCGCCGAGGG
rnacentral:misc_RNA from 1 species